GACGAACGCUGGCGGCGUGCCUAAUACAUGCAAAUCGAGCGGAUCUUCAUUAGCUUGCUUUUGAAGAUCAGCGGCGGACGGGUGAGUAACACGUGGGCAACCUGCCUGUAAGACUGGGAUAACUUCGGGAAACCGGAGCUAAUACCGGAUAAUCCUUUUCCUCUCAUGAGGAAAAGCUGAAAGCCGGUUUCGGCUGUCACUUACUGAUGGGCCCGCGGCGCAUUAGCUAGUUGGUGAGGUAACGGCUCACCAAGGCGACGAUGCGUAGCCGACCUGAGAGGGUGAUCGGCCACACUGGGACUGAGACACGGCCCAGACUCCUACGGGAGGCAGCAGUAGGGAAUCUUCCGCAAUGGACGAAAGUCUGACGGAGCAACGCCGCGUGAGCGAUGAAGGCCUUCGGGUCGUAAAGCUCUGUUGUCAGGGAAGAACAAGUAUCGGAGUAACUGCCGGUACCUUGACGGUACCUGACCAGAAAGCCACGGCUAACUACGUGCCAGCAGCCGCGGUAACAC
rnacentral:rRNA from 1 species